UCUAGAUUGAUGGUGCUCAUCAGGGUAAAUCUAUUGAGCCCAAACUCGAUGGAGUUAUGAUGAGUAGAUUAGGAGUUCUGGGGAGUUCUGGUGACCAACUCCUGACUCCAUCAUGAGACCCUGAACAUCA
rnacentral:sRNA from 1 species